UGGAUAUAAUUAAAUACUAGUUAAGUCAAAAAAAAAAGGCAAUAAAAUUAAAAAAAGGGAGUCACGUGACUAACCCAUAAAGUGGGUAUUGAAAGGAAAACAAAGGGCUUAAUGCCUUAAAGAAAACAAAAAGCAUUUUGUUUCUCACACACACACAAAAGGCAUCAAACAAACCUCUGUUCAUUCACAGGCGAAAGGCUAAAAAGCCUAAUUCAAAAUAGAGAAACAAAACAUUGUUCUGUUCACGCAGCAAGCACAAAGGCUACGGAACUUUCACAUGCAGGCAACGAAAAUUCUAGGGUUCUUUACAAAUCACUAAUUCUUGAACUCGGGUAUAUAAAAUUCCCUAUUGUCAGUUAUCCUAAAGUAGUGGUAGAAUUAAUUAUUUGACGGGUAUAAAUUGGACUGGGGCAUGUGUAUUGGCUCAAGGAGUUUUGAGGUGAGUUGAUAUAACCCUUUACUAAAGUGGUUUAACUCACAAAAGCACGCAUACAAGGUUUUUUUCUAUAACUAGAAAGACCUUCCAAGGGAUGCUAGAGGUUGCUCAAGGAUGGAUCAAAUCCAGAUGCCUAAUUUUAGGAUCAAGAGACAAAGGAAAGGGAAUUUCUUUCUACAGGUGAGGCACUAUCUCAUCCAGGAUGGCGAC